CGAAAGCCUGACGGAGCAACGCCGCGUGAGGGAGGAAGGCCUUUGGGUUGUAAACCUCUUUUGUUAGGGAAGAAGCAAGUGACGGUACCUAACGAAGAAGCAUCGGCUAACUCCGUGCCAGCAGCCGCGGUAAUACGGAGGAUGCAAGCGUUAUCCGGAAUCAUUGGGCGUAAAGCGUCCGCAGGUGGUAUUUCAAGUCUGCUGUCAAAGACUGUAGCUUAACUACGGAAAGGCAGUGGAAACUGAAAAACUAGAGGGCAGUAGGGGUAGCGGGAAUUCCCAGUGUAGCGGUGAAAUGCGUAGAGAUUGGGAAGAACAUCGGUGGCGAAAGCGCGCUACUGGGCUGAACCUGACACUGAGGGACGAAAGC
rnacentral:rRNA from 1 species